UUCGGGUGAGAUUCUCACGUGAAAUUUCUAUGAGUGAAAUUUUCCGGUGUAUUAGAUAUUAAAAUAAAAUAGUUAGAACUGCGAAUAAAAAGAGUCGAAAAACAGUGGUUGGUCGACAGGAUUAUGUCAGUCUCUUCAUCUUGUAUGUUUUGGGUUAUUCCUUUGUUGUGUUCCUCCUCUUAUAUUACACCACGGUCAUGCUAGUUUGAUAUUGUUAACUGUCAGAAAUCUUUAAUACUACAUUCCGGGGAUGAUUUUGAUCGAAAGUGACACGGUAUGCAUACAAAGGGGAUAAGUUGACAAAAACUGCAUGCAAUCGACAUUUCGUAAUAGUCUACAGGACCUUGAUGGAAACAAAUUAACACUGCUAUAUUUGUGGUAUUUAGACAAUACUUUGACGACUUUUCUAAGUUAUUAUAACGAUGGUCAAAUGGACUGUCUGUUGUGGAUUACACGCAUAAUAACAUUAUU
rnacentral:lncRNA from 1 species